UUGUAAGAGACACUUGCAUUAUCUGAAGUGGCUGAACUGUCUCAUAGGUUUCACUGCAUUCAUUAUUUUCUAUAUGCUUCAGGUGAGAGUGAUCCUUUAAGUGCCAGGAUAUAACUGCUUAUCCAACAGACUGGACAUCUCCAUCCAGGACAGGUCCCACUGCACUUCUGUCACGUCCUGCUUGGUCGCAGGAAGCUCCACUGCCGGUAGAUUCUCUAUUGGAAGUGCCAGACAGCUACUUGUGCAAAACCUCUGAGAAAACUGCAUCAUCUUCCAACCUGAGGAGUAAGGGCACUGCAGAAGGAAAGUCUCCCCUUUGAAGAUCUGUCUGGUGCUGGGAGUCAGAGUCAGAGAAGGAGGAGGCAGCUCUGGAGGACAGAGGUGGACAGAGGGAACAGAAGAGAAAUUGAGAAGAAGACAAUCAAGAAAUGCAGAUGUUUCAUACCGUAGCAGUUCGCAAAUGCACUAGUGAUAGACCGUAAUCGUAACCGUAAUUAAUCGUUAUAAAACAUGACAAUUUAAAAUUGUAUUUUGGCUGCCCCGCUUUCUUUAUAUCGGCAUCAGUAUCGGCCAUUGAAAAACCAUAUUGGUCGACCGCUAAAAUGUACCAGCAGUUCUGCACGUCUGGCUGUAGACUAAUGCGUCACAUGGGAUCUUAACUGAUGUAACAACAUAUCUCGAUAAAAUCCUGACAAUUAUCACACAGUAUGUGUUUAUAUUAUUGAUUAACUGUCUUUAUUGAACUCAGCUGUAUGUUCUUAUACUAAACAUUGUCAAAUGCUAGCACCAUGACUCCAGGGAUGGCAAUGUAAAUCCGUCUAUCCCCUACAUUGGUCCAGGCUGAAAUAUUUAUAAUAUUUAUAACAAUUGGAUGAGUUGCCAUGAAAUUUGGUACAGAGAUUCAUGUUCCACUCAGGAUAAUAACUUUGGUGAUUCCCUCAAUUUUCCAUCUAAAUAUUAAAAUGCCCAUUUGUCCAGUUCUGUGACUUAUCACCAAAUACCUAGAAAACUAAUAACAUUGCCAUCAACCUCAGCUAAAAACAAGACCAUGCUAACACGCUAAACUAAGAUGGUGAAUGUGUUAAAUAUUAUAACUGGUUAGCAUCAGCAUGUUAGUAUUGUCACUGUGAGUAUGUUAGCAUUUAGGUCAAAGCAGCCAGAGACGUUUUAUAGAGGAGACACGCCACUCAAUCACAUCCUCAAUACAACUCUAUGGGGAAAGCCUGUAACGGCAAAGAUGGCAGUUAUCCCGCCCCUCCCGCUAGAAAGCCAAUCGUCUGCUUUUAACAGCCAACGCGGGAAACAGGUGUUUGGUAUAUUGUUAAAGGUAGGUGGACUGGUCUAAAACAUUUUGUAUGUGUUGUACAACAGAUGUUUGUGAUACAUAUUUAUUUCAGGUCGCUGUAAUACUUAAAAGUGUUAUUUCCAUUUUAGGAUUCACUACUUAGCCGACAUAUAUUUGAAAUUGGUAUAAACCACGAUGUAGAAUAUAUUAACCUUAAGAGUUCAGUGGCUGUUAUACAUUCGGACGUCAAACUAAUAUAAAAAUAACUGCAUAUAUGUGUUGUUGCAUCAGAAGUCAGUGACUACACAACCUUAACGCUCUUCUUUGUUUUCAUGUGUAUAUAGUAGGAACCUGAUGCCUCACUGCUCACCUGACACAAUGAGCACUGUCGGCAUGCUGGGCACUGCCACAAGGGUGGUGUUGUCCUUCCACCAAUCAGCUUGGCACCAAUACUUGCCCGCGUCCUCCCUCGUUACGGCGGUGAUGGAGUAGCUGUCACCGGAGACCACGUGCCUGGGGUUUGGGGUCGGAGCAGUGUAUGAAUUGUGCCUGAACCAUUGGUAUCUCCGCACAGAUCUGAAGUUUGACCCCAGUGUGCACUGCAACAACACACACUCACCAAGGUAGAUGUUUGACCCCCGAGGCCACACAGACACUCCGACCUUCCCAAUCACUGCAGGAAUAAAUCAUUAUAAUCA